rnacentral:rRNA from 1 species
UACGGAGGGGACUAGCGUUGUUCGGAAUUACUGGGCGUAAAGCGCACGUAGGCGGCUUUGUAAGUUAGAGGUGAAAGCCCGGGGCUCAACUCCGGAAUUGCCUUUAAGACUGCAUCGCUAGAAUUGUGGAGAGGUAAGUGGAAUUCCGAGUGUAGAGGUGAAAUUCGUAGAUAUUCGGAAGAACACCAGUGGCGAAGGCGACUUACUGGACACAUAUUGACGCUGAGGUGCGAAAGCGUGGGGAGCGAACAGG